AAACAUUCAUUCAAUUAUGUUGCAAAAAGACAAUAUUCUAUUUACCAAAAAGAGUAAAGUUCCUAAUGCAUUCUAAAAUUCUAGCCGACGGUAACCAUGUACCUUAGCUUCAUUCACUUGUUACUCUUAUCAUUGCCAUCCAAGCUCGGAUGCACCUUCAUUGUGUACUUCUUGAGGAGCAACCAAUCUAGAAGGGUUUGCCACUCAUUC
rnacentral:lncRNA from 1 species